UACGUAGGGUGCGAGCGUUAAUCGGAAUUACUGGGCGUAAAGCGUGCGCAGGCGGUUCUGUAAGCCAGAUGUGAAAUCCCCGGGCUUAACCUGGGAAUGGCAUUUGGGACUGCAAGGCUGGAGUGUGGCAGAGGGAGGUGGAAUUCCACGUGUAGCAGUGAAAUGCGUAGAGAUGUGGAGGAACACCGAUGGCGAAGGCAGCCUCCUGGGCCAGCACUGACGCUCAUGCACGAAAGCGUGGGGAGCAAACAGG
rnacentral:rRNA from 1 species